rnacentral:rRNA from 1 species
UACGGGGGGAGCAAGCGUUGUUCGGAUUUACUGGGCGUAAAGGGCGCGUAGGCGGUCGUGACAAGUCACUUGUGAAAUCUCCGGGCUUAAUUCGGAACGGUCAAGUGAUACUGUCGGACUAGAGUACAGAAGGGGCAACUGGAAUUCUCGGUGUAGCGGUGAAAUGCGUAGAUAUCGAGAGGAACACCUGCGGCGAAGGCGGGUUGCUGGGCUGAUACUGACGCUGAGGCGCGAAAGCCAGGGGAGCGAACGGG